rfam:Jannaschia rubra strain CECT 5088 genome assembly, contig: 0012
GGGGACCUUCGGGGCCCUAUACCGCGGCGGGCUCCGGCCUGCCGACACUGCAAACGGAAGACAGGUA